rnacentral:pre_miRNA from 1 species
CCUUGUUCGGCCUGGUUGUUAUGUGGACAUGUGACAUCACAACCUGCAUGAAUGAGGGC